rnacentral:rRNA from 1 species
CCUACGGGAGGCAGCAGUGGGGAAUCUUGCGCAAUGGGCGAAAGCCUGACGCAGCCAUGCCGCGUGAAUGAUGAAGGUCUUAGGAUUGUAAAAUUCUUUCACCGGGGACGAUAAUGACGGUACCCGGAGAAGAAGCCCCGGCUAACUUCGUGCCAGCAGCCGCGGUAAUACGAAGGGGGCUAGCGUUGCUCGGAAUUACUGGGCGUAAAGGGAGCGUAGGCGGAUAGUUUAGUCAGAGGUGAAAGCCCAGGGCUCAACCUUGGAAUUGCCUUUGAUACUGGCUAUCUUGAGUAUGGGAGAGGUAUGCGGAACUCCGAGUGUAGAGGUGAAAUUCGUAGAUAUUCGGAAGAACACCAGUGGCGAAGGCGGCAUACUGGCCCAUUACUGACGCUGAGGCUCGAAAGCGUGGGGAGCAAACAGGAUUAGAUACCCUGGUAGUCCACGCUGUAAACGAUGAGUGCUAGUUGUCGGCAUGCAUGCAUGUCGGUGACGCAGCUACGACAUAAGACACUCCGCCGUCGGGAGGUACGGUCGCGAAGAAUUAAACUAACAAUAGUAAGUUAGUACGGCGUGAGACGUGACCGACGGACGACGACGAGGGAGGAGG